AGAGAGAAGAAGAAGGUAUGGAA
rnacentral:sRNA from 1 species